rnacentral:rRNA from 1 species
UACGAGGGGGGCUAGCGUUGCUCGGAAUCACUGGGCGUAAAGCGCACGUAGGCGGCUUGUUAAGUCAGGGGUGAAAUCCUGGAGCUCAACUCCAGAACUGCCUUUGAUACUGGCGAUCUUGAGUCCGGGAGAGGUGAGUGGAACUGCGAGUGUAGAGGUGAAAUGCGUAGAUAUCUGGAGGAACACCGGUGGCGAAGGCGGCAUUCUGGACUGCAACUGACGCUGAAAAACGAAAGCCAGGGGAGCAAACGGG